rnacentral:rRNA from 1 species
AACGAACGCUGGCGGCAUGCCUAACACAUGCAAGUCGAACGAGACCUUCGGGUCUAGUGGCGCACGGGUUCGUAACGCGUGGGGACCUGCCCUUAGGUUCGGAAUAACUCCCCGAAAGGGGUGCUAAUACCGGAUAAUGUCUUCGGACCAAAGAUUUAUCGCCUUUGGAUGGGCCCGCGUUGGAUUAGCUAGUUGGUAGGGUAAAAGCCUACCAAGGCGACGAUCCAUAGCUGGUCUGAGAGGAUGAUCAGCCACACUGGGACUGAGACACGGCCCAGACUCCUACGGGAGGCAGCAGUGGGGAAUACUGGACAAUGGGCGAAAGCCUGAUCCAGCAAUGCCGCGUGAGUGAUGAAGGCCUUAGGGUUGUAAAGCUCUUUUACCCGGGAUGAUAAUGACAGUACCGGGAGAAUAAGCUCCGGCUAACUCCGUG